CCGACUCCCCCCAGCGAUCAUUUCUGUAAUAUGUUACUAGAGAAGUUCCUCUGAUCCUGUAGGGCACCUGAAGGCAUGAGGCGGAGGCUCAGGAUUCUCUCCUGAGCGUGAAGGCAAUUCUAGGUGUUGCUUUUGCAACUGCCUUUUGCCAUUGAUGAUAGUUCUUCUCUUCUCUCUCUCCCCUCCCCCCACAGACCUGGUAUGUGUAUGACCCCUGCAGGGCU
rnacentral:snoRNA from 1 species